rnacentral:rRNA from 1 species
GACGAACGCUGGCGGCGUGCUUAACACAUGCAAGUCGAACGGAAAGGCCCUGCUUUUGUGGGGUGCUCGAGUGGCGAACGGGUGAGUAACACGUGAGUAACCUUCCCUUGACUUUGGGAUAACUUCAGGAAACUGGGGCUAAUACCGGAUAGGAGCUCCUGCUGCAUGUUGGGGGUUGGAAAGUUUCGGCGGUUGGGGAUGGACUCGCGGCUUAUCAGCUUGUUGGUGGGGUAGUGGCUUACCAAGGCUUUGACGGGUAGCCGGCCUGAGAGGGUGACCGGCCACAUUGGGACUGAGAUACGGCCCAGACUCCUACGGGAGGCAGCAGUGGGGAAUAUUGCACAAUGGGCGGAAGCCUGAUGCAGCAACGCCGCGUGCGGGAUGACGGCCUUCGGGUUGUAAACCGCUUUCGCCUGUGACGAAGCGUGAGUGACGGUAAUGGGUAAAGAAGCACCGGCUAACUACGUG